UCAUUUGAGGUACACCAACAACAUUUGAAUUAUUCAUUUCUUGUUCUUCUCCUCCUUCUUUAGGAAUUAAGAUUAUUUUGUAAGAGAGUUGAGUGUCGGAAAAUACUUGUGUGAACCCUUCUUUGGAGUGAUCUUGUGAGAUUAUUCUUUUGGGAUAUUUGGGAAUAAUUAGAGUUUUUACUCUAAUUUUGUACUCUCUUUUGUACUCUUAUUGUUAUAGUGAAAUUGCUCCUCUCCGCUUGUGGACAUAGGUCACACUGACCGAACCACAUUAAAUUGGUGUCUUCUUUAUCUGCUUUAAUUACCAUUAUUAUCAACUGGCAUUGUCUUUGUUAUUGUCAUUAUAAUAUUGUUUGGCUAAAUUCCGCACUACUCGGGUUUUCGAUCCUAAAAAAUCGCAGGUCUACCCUAGUUUUCAACCUCGCUCAUUUGUGAAACCCAAGUUAUGGAACCUAGUAAGCAAUGGAUGCAAAAUAAGGUGGGAUCAACUACGAGGAUUGCUGCCAAAUAUGCACUCGUCGUGCCAGGAGCUAUAGGAAAGGGACGAGGACGAGGACUUAAAUCUUUCGUUGAGUAGGAGAAUAUGCCAACUAAGAGUUUAUUUCCUCAAUCUAGUGAUCUAAUUAAGUAAUACAUCCAAAUAAUUGAAACAACUAAGACUUUUUAAAUAUAAUAUUUUUAAUUUGCAUAACUGAAUUUUAAUGCCGAAGUGCUAGUAAUCUGAUUUCUUUUUGACAGGUGCUACAGGGAAGGGACGAGGACAGGGGCUUAAAAAAUCUACCACGUUUUCUAGUCAAGGAAUGAUACAUAAAAACAACAUCGUUCUUGAUAAAGAGUACAUGGAAGUUGAUAUUCCAUUGCCUUCAUCUACUAAUCAAGUUAAGAAAUACACCCAAAAAGUUGAAACAGGUGCUAUAAGGAAGGGUAACUUCAUCUUGUCACACCUCCCUUUUUACCUACCCCGGAAAGGGUAUAAGGGAGUUUUUUUCCAACUUAAAGUGACAAUCGAAACGAGAUUAUUUAUCUAAGAAUCAGAGUCGCCACUUG